rnacentral:lncRNA from 1 species
GACAGCGUAGUCAAGUGUGGAGUGAGCCAUGUUAAAGGUUCUGGAGAGGAGACGAUGACCACCUGGGUCGGGCACCACUCUGCUAUAUAUAUGUGCCUCAUUUGGCAUCCACUUUGCCUGUCUGCUGCUGGGUUUCCAUCUGUCGACUCUCAACAUAAUGUCAGAGAUAAAAACUGAAGACUCCAUGGCUUCAAAAUGCAUUUUUUCUGCUGGCUGCCUGAUGGCUGUCUGGGGACAUAAAAUUUAGAAAGCAACCCUUGCAGACUGACCCUCUUAUUGGUAUGUACAUUUUAAUUUUGACUCUGCACAAUGUCUAUUUCAUCUAAUCAAAGUGUAAAUCCAGGAAAAGCCUUGAAAGUUUACAGGUACAAACAUGGAAGGACACCGUCUGUCACUUAUCAGAAUGAAAUUACAUAUAUGUUUGUGCUAAACUUUAUAAUUUUUUACCUAAUGCACCCAGAAUCCAUACUAAUAGCUGAAAUGCAAUGUAAUAUUAACAUGAAUUCAAUUUUUACUGUACCAACACAUCUAAAUAUUUUCAGGAUAAAUAGAAAUAGAUAUAGUGCUUUGAAAUUGUUGUCUAUUUGUAUUUCAAAUCCCCCAAAUUCAUGAACAUUAUUGUCUGCAUCAUCUUUAACUGUUUACGUGCAGCUCGCAUUUAAAAAAAACAUUAAAGAGCUAUCACUAAGCAUCUAGUUAGUUGUGUUCUUCCUUCUUUUCAGUCUUAUAAUUUGAAACAACCUUAUUCUUCUUUCUUGGGCAUUCAGAGACAUUUUAAGUUGGUUUCAGGACUUCCCCAUGAUUGUUUCAACAUAUCCUUCCUGAUACAAUGAAGGAUCAAGCAUAACUUGAAAAAACUGAAAAACCAAGGAGCUUCUUUGACGGGGAAUAGACUUCCCACCCCCAUGCUAUCUGAGAUCAUUUUGUAGGGGUUAACCUUUGCCAAGAAAACAGAAUUUCAUGGUCUGUCUUCAGAACUUGAUUUUAACAUCUUGGAGACAAGACAAUAUUAAGAUUUGUUUACCUAAAUAACUGGUGUGUGUGUGUGUCCACACAUGUACACAGACACAUGUAUGCAUGCCAAUAUAUACACAUUUGUUACUAAAAUUAUGGCUUUUAAAUACUAUUGUCAACCCUGCCCCCAUGGACUGCCUUGACUUAUGUUAGUGUGUGCUCACUUCUGUUUCAGUGUAGGUGAAACCUGUGAGUGUCCACAACUAAUAGGUAAUGGUGUGUUGCUAGUAUUCUUAAUUUACAUUAUUAAUAAAACUGUCUUAGAUAUUUUCCUGAACUAAUAGCCAUGUUGUGCUCCCAUUAGGUUAAGAAACAGUACCUACUAAUCACAAAGCUGAAAAAAGACCCCAGUCAAAUAGAGUUUAAAAAAAAAAAAGAAAG